rnacentral:rRNA from 1 species
UCCGCAGCUGGCAGGACUCACCGAGUUGGUCUUAGGAGAUCAGGGCAUGUCAUCUGCCGCGCGGUGCGCCGUGUCCCUCGUAGACCUUUAUACCUCGCGUUUUCACAUAAAACUAUGAUACAGUGUAGAAUGUUAUUUUACCUUUUGCGGUCACACGCAAUCAAUACAACUUUCAACAACGGAUCUCUUGGCUCUCGCAUCGAUGAAGAACGCAGCGAAAUGCGAUACGUAAUGUGAAUUGCAGAAUUCAGUGAAUCAUCGAAUCUUUGAACGCACCUUGCGCCCCUUGGCAUUCCGAGGGGCACACCCGUUUGAGUGUCGUGAAAUCAUCAAAACCUUUUCUUUGAUCCUUUUUGGUCGGGAAAAGGAUUUUGGACUUGGAGGUUCCAUGCUCGCUUUCUUUCGAAAGCGAGCUCCUCUCAAAUGAAUUAGUGGGGUCCGCUUUGCUGAUCCUUGACGUGAUAAGAUGCUUCUACGUUUUGGAUUUGGCACUGUCCCAUGGAUGCCUGCUCCUAACUGUCUCAUGGACAAUGAUGGUGCUCCGGUCACCGCCGUCUACGUUGGCGGGGGGAGGCUGGACCCACAAAAAGAAAACCUGACCUC